AGAGUUUGAUCCUGGCUCAGGAUGAACGCUGGCGGCGUGCUUAAUACAUGCAAGUCGAACGGAAACAGUAGCAAUAUUGCUUUAGUGGCGAACGGGUGAGUAACGCGUUGGUGACCUGCCCCGAAGAGAGGGAUAACAGUUCGAAAGGAUUGCUAAUACCUCAUGUGGUUAUAAGGUUUAGAAGCUUAUAACUAAACGGAUUUAUUCGCUUCGGGAGGGGCCUGCGUCCCAUCAGCUAGUUGGUAAGGUAAUGGCCUACCAAGGCGAUGACGGGUAGGGGACCUGAGAGGGUGGCCCCCCACAAUGGAACUGAAACACGGUCCAUACACCUACGGGUGGCAGCAGUAGGGAAUAUUGGUUAAUGUGGGAAACCGCGAACCAGCAACGCCGCGUGCACGAUGAAGGCCUUCGGGUCGUAAAGUGCUUUUAGAGAGGAUGAGGAAGGACAGUACUCUCUGAAUAAGCCUCGGCUAACUACGUGCCAGCAGCCGCGGUAAA
rnacentral:rRNA from 1 species